rnacentral:rRNA from 1 species
CCUACGGGUGGCAGCAGUCGAGAAUCAUUCACAAUGGGGGAAACCCUGAUGGUGCGACGCCGCGUGGGGGAAUGAAGGUCUUCGGAUUGUAAACCCCUGUCAUGUGGGAGCAAAUUAAAAAGAUAGUACCACAAGAGGAAGAGACGGCUAACUCUGUGCCAGCAGCCGCGGUAAUACAGAGGUCUCAAGCGUUGUUCGGAAUCACUGGGCGUAAGGCGUGCGUAGGCUGUUUCGUAAGUCGUGUGUGAAAGUCGCGGGCUCAACCCGCGGACGGCACAUGAUACUGCGAGACUAGAGUAAUGGAGGGGGAACCGGAAUUCUCGGUGUAGCAGUGAAAUGCGUAGAUAUCGAGAGGAACACUCGUGGCGAAGGCGGGUUCCUGGACAUUAACUGACGCUGAGGCACGAAGGCCAGGGGAGCGAAAGGGAUUAGAUACCCGAGUAGUC